rnacentral:rRNA from 1 species
UGGGGAAUAUUGGUCAAUGGGCGAAAGCCUGAACCAGCAAUGCCGCGUGGGUGAUGAAGGCCUUCGGGUUGUAAAGCCCUGUCAGUGGGAAAGAAAAAGCCGGUUAACAGCCGGACUUGACGGUACCCACAAAGGAAGCACCGGCUAACUCUGUGCCAGCAGCCGCGGUAAUACAGAGGGUGCAAGCGUUGUUCGGAAUUACUGGGCGUAAAGCGCGUGUAGGCGGCUUAUUAAGUCGGACGUGAAAUCCCUUGGCUCAACCAAGGAACUGCGUCCGAUACUGUUAAGCUUGAGUGUCGGAGGGGGUGGCGGAAUUCCCGGUGUAGAGGUGAAAUUCGUAGAUAUCAGGAGGAACACCUGUGGCGAAGGCGGCCACCUGGAAGACAACUGACGCUGAGACGCGAAAGCGUGGGGAGCAAACAGGAUUAGAUACCCCCGUAGUCC